rnacentral:lncRNA from 1 species
GGGAUUUCUCGGCGCUCUCCUGACCAAACCCCCAAGGAAAAUCAGCUUCUCGAUUACCUCCACCCAGCUCUGGCUUCCGUGGACGCCAAUUCCCUCUUCCUGGGCUCGGCUAUCAAGUCACCACACCUCACGCCGUCGCGGGGAGGCAGGCAGGUGCGGGUUCCCGCGCCCCCGGGGGCGGUGCCGGGAAGGCGCGAGGCCCCGGGCGCGCGCGCGCGCGCGGACCUUGCGAGUUCAGUCUCCGGCGUGACCCCUCUAGCGCCUCGAGACCCUACCCCGGCUCGCCAUUCUGGGGUCUCGUGCUGUGGGCCGGGCGCCCACCGGAAACGAAAGGACGGCUUCCG